ACUGCAGAGCACUUCCCUGUGCUCUCCAGAUCUCCAAUGUGAUCUGAGUUCAGACUGGAGCAAUCCAGGUGGUUUCUAUCUAUUAAACAAUUUCUCCCAGUACAAAAGGACAAGAGAAAUGAGGCCUACUUUACCAAAGCACCUUCAACCCAAUAGAUGAUAUAAUCUUAAUC